AGCGCCCAAACUACUAGCAACCCAUUCUUUUCUCUAACCCUAGUGGCGCUCCCUCGUUCUAUUUUCCAGCGAUUCAUCGGUGAACACUACCAAUCUCUUCUCUUUUUUUUUCCGAUGCCCUUCACACCUCUUUUUCCCUGAUUCUUAAAGGAGAUGGAGUGGCGGAACAUGACGGCAAGGGAGCAGCAGCGUCGACGGAGGAUGUUGAUGAAGGUGCGGAGGAGGUGGAUGAAGUGGAAGAGGUAGAAGGCGUAGGACCAGAAGAAGACGCGGUUGGAGGGGCGGGUGCUGAGGGGGAAAUAGAGGAACUGCUACAUUGGGGUGGUGCAGGAGCGAUCGCGUCGUUACCAAUAGGCGAGGGAUGCGGGACGCGUUCUUCCAAUCUUGAUCUCAGUCCCAUGGCGGAUGGUGGACUCGGAAUUCCUUAAAAAAUUAGGUUAGAUCCCUUUGAAUGUUCAAAACCAUAUGAUGCUUGUACAAAUCAAGGCCUUUUCCCAUAUGAACAUUGGUAGAUUUUUGACGAUGAUUGGUUGCUUUGUUAGCAUUCAUGUGGAUGCUUUCCAUGCCCCCAUAUGAAGAGAAGAAGAGGUUUGGGCUUCUGAUUAUAGUAUUGGUUUUUGAGGGGGCUUCCAUUGGCCCUUUGAUUGAGCGUGCCAUUGAGGUUGACAAUAGGCAUAGUAACAUUAUAUUAUGAGGUAAGAAACACCUUUUUGAAGAGAGAAGUGGUUGAUACCUUGAAUGGGAUUCAAAAAUACAAGAAUGGACAAAAACUGGUUACACUAUUAUGUCAGAUGGCUGGACUGAUCAAAGAAAGAGAACAAUGUUUGAUGAAACACCUAGUGAAUUGCUUGGAAAGAGAAAACAAGCCAAUCAAAUGCAAAGCUUUCACUUGGUUAAUGAAGAAGAGAAUGAAAAUGGUUUGAAUGUGAUCAAUGAAGAUGUUCAAAUGUCAAAAGUGGAUGAACCUAUUAAAACUAUUGGCCACAAUGAAGAUUAUGGACUUGGUGAUGAUUGUUAUGAA